UCACCCUACAGACUCCUAUGA
rnacentral:misc_RNA from 1 species